rnacentral:rRNA from 1 species
AUGCAAGUCGAGGGGUAACGGAAGUAGCUUGCUACUAGACGACGACCGGCGCACGGGUGAGUAACGCGUAUGUAAUCUGCCUUGUACAGAGGGAUAGCCCAGAGAAAUUUGGAUUAAUACCUCAUAGUAUUACUGGAUCGCAUGAUUUGGUAAUUAAAGCUCCGGCGGUACAAGAUGAACAUGCGUGACAUUAGCUAGUUGGUAAGGUAACGGCUUACCAAGGCUACGAUGUCUAGGGGUUCUGAGAGGAUGAUCCCCCACACUGGUACUGAGACACGGACCAGACUCCUACGGGAGGCAGCAGUGAGGAAUAUUGGUCAAUGGACGCAAGUCUGAACCAGCCAUCCCGCGUGAAGGAUGACUGCCCUAUGGGUUGUAAACUUCUUUUAUAUGCAAAUAAACCUACUUUCGUGAAAGUAGCUGAAGGUAGCAUAUGAAUAAACACCGGCUAACUCCGUGCCAGCAGCCGCGGUAAUACGGAGGGUGUAAGCGUUAUCCGGAUUUAUUGGGUUUAAAGGGUACGUAGGCGGUAAUAUAAGUCAGUGGUGAAAUCCUGCAGCUCAACUGUAGAACUGCCAUUGAAACUGUAUUACUUGAG